rnacentral:lncRNA from 1 species
GAGCAGCUUUAUUAUCACGAGGGCCUUCGGGUGCUCUCCCUCCCUUAGAGCUCUGGGCUGUAGGUACAUGUUUUCUCUCCGCUCUCCGAGUUUCUUCCCGAUGUUUGCUUGCAGCGAAAGAAUCAUCAUACCUACGCUUGUUGUAAGUCUCUUUGCUAGGGGGUAAGAUAUCACGGUCACGGUCUCUCGGUGCCUGACGAUUGUUCUCACGGUGGUCAUCUCUAGGAGCAUACCGGGAGUCAAUACGUUUCCAUACGCUGUCCCUGUUAUCUCUUUGAGUUCCUUCCCCGGAGCGUCUCUCAAGAUAGCUUGGAGGCUUUUGUCCAGCUACAUUGAAUCUCUUUGAAAGGUCUCCCUUCCUAUUUGAAUCAAUUCUGGAUUGUUGCCCUUGGUCUCUGUUAUUUUCUUUUGAUAAUCGAAAUUGUUCUCUUUGCUCUUCAGUUAACAGCGGGCAAGUAUCAACUUCAUGGGAGAUACGGCGACAUGAGUGGCACCAGCGAUGAAGGUUAACAUAUUCCAGGGAAACCGGAACAAUUUCCCCUGAGGGGAGCUGCGCACGCAGAGCA